GACGAACGCUGGCGGCGUGCUUAACACAUGCAAGUCGAGCGAUGAAAUCCCUUCGGGGAUGGAUUAGCGGCGGACGGGUGAGUAACACGUGGGUAACCUGCCUCAAAGAGGGGGAUAGCCUCCCGAAAGGGAGAUUAAUACCGCAUAACAUUAGUUUUUCGCAUGGAGGACUAAUUAAAGGAGUAAUCCGCUUUGAGAUGGACCCGCAGCGCAUAAGCUAGUUGGUGAGGUAACGGCUCACCAAGGCAACGAUGCGUAGCCGACCUGAGAGGGUGAUCGGCCACAUAGGAACUGAGACACGGUCCAGACUCCUACGGGAGGCAGCAGUGGGGAAUAUUGCACAAUGGGCGAAAGCCUGAUGCAGCAACGCCUCGUGAGUGAUGAAGGCCUUCGGGUUGUAAAGCUCUGUCUUUUGGGACGAUAAUGACGGUACCAAAGGAGGAAGCCACGGCUAACUACGUGCCAGCAGCCGCCGUAACAC
rnacentral:rRNA from 1 species